GCUUGCGCUCAUUAGAACAGAGUCUCAUCCGGUAGAGCGAAUGAUUAGAGGCAUUGGGGUCGAAACGACCUCAACCUAUUCUCAAACUCCAAAUAGAUGAGAACAUCGGCUUUCUUAAAAUGAAGCCGAGAAAAAUGGAUCAGAGUGCAAAGUGGGCCAAUUUUGGUAAGCAGAACUGGCGCUGUGG
rnacentral:rRNA from 1 species